CAAGCCUUGCGCGCCCGGGGGAGAUCCCCCGGGUGCGCAAGGCUUGCCGACAUCUGCGCGAAGCACAGGACGUCCUCCGGAGGGCGCCCUGUGCUCCGCGCUGCAGGCUGCCGCCCGCAAGCCGUGCGUGCCCAGAGGGAUCUCCCCCCGGGUGCGCAAGGCUUG